ACUCUUUUAGUAUAAUAAGUACAACUGACUUCCAAUCAGUUAGAUUCAGACCACACCUGAAAAAGAGUA
rnacentral:tRNA from 1 species